rnacentral:lncRNA from 1 species
UCUAUGUUUCAUGCAAAUAAUUUUUUUGGCAAUGGAUAUUUUGAUAAUGAUCUUCUAAUUCUAUUACUUAAUGAAAAUAUUUUUUAUGUUCAUGAAAAUAUAAAAAGAAAGAGAGAAGACAUAAAUAUGUCAUUUCUCUAGCAUUGCCACCUUGGUCAUAUUGGUGAGUCAAGGAUAAGCAAGUUAUACAAAGAAAAAUUCUUUGAACUAUAUAAUUUUGAAUCAUAUAGGACUUGUGAAUCUUAUUUCAUGGGCAA